GCGAAUAUAGCUCAUUUGGUAGAGCAUCUGCCUUCCAAGCAGAGGGUGGUGGGUUCGAGCCCCACUAUUCGC
rnacentral:tRNA from 1 species